rnacentral:tRNA from 1 species
CGGGGCGUAGCGCAGCCUGGUAGCGCAUCAUACUGGGGGUGUGGAGGUCGCUGGUUCGAAUCCAGUCGCCCCGA